rnacentral:rRNA from 1 species
AGAUUGAACGCUGGCGGCAUGCCUAACACAUGCAAGUCGAACGGGAGUAGCAAUACUCUAGUGGCGGACGGGUGAGGAAUACGUAGGAAUUUGCCCUUAAGUGGGGGAUAACCCGGGGAAACCCGGAUUAAUACCGCAUGACCUCGAAAGAGCAAAGUGGGGGAUCGCAAGACCUCACGCUUUUGGAGGAGCCUACGUCGGAUUAGCUAGUUGGUGAGGUAAUGGCUCACCAAGGCGACGAUCCGUAACUGGUCUGAGAGGAUGAUCAGUCACACCGGAACUGAGACACGGUCCGGACUCCGUACGGGAGCAGCAGGUGGGGAAUAGUUGGACAAGUGGGGCG